UGCGCUGUACCCCGCCGUGGGCGCCCUCGAGGACCGCAACAUCGCCAGGGACCACGACAAUCAAGGCCUAAUCGUUGACAACCAGCGGUUCGUAUCGAGCAUCGCCGACCAGACCACCCACUUAGCUGCCACAAGCUUGCUAAUGGACGGGGAGGACAGCAGUCACAGGCUUGCUCCUGAUGUCCUUUUUUUAACUUUUAAGUAUAAGUAUAUCAGAUUUCUUCCCUGAAUGUUCAUGUAUUUGAUCACGCCAUUGAUAUUAAUGAGUCUUCUUCGUCAGGAGAUUAUACAAUAUGAAUUUAAGAUACUCCAGAUUUUCUCUUU